UAAUCGCAGAUCAGAAUGCUGCGGUGAAUGCGUUCCCGGGUCUUGUACACACCGCCCGUCACACCACGGAAGUUGGAGACGCCCGAAGCCGAUUAUCUAACCUUUUGGAAGAAGUCGUCGAAGGUGGAAUCAAUAACUGGGGGGAAGUCGUAACAAGGUAGCCGUAUCGGAAGGGGCGGCUGGAUCACCUCCUUUCUAAGGAGA
rnacentral:rRNA from 1 species